rnacentral:rRNA from 1 species
CAGUCGAACGGCAGCACGGGGGCAACCCUGGUGGCGAGUGGCGAACGGGUGAGUAAUACAUCGGAACGUGUCCUGUAGUGGGGGAUAGCCCGGCGAAAGCCGGAUUAAUACCGCAUACGAUCUACGGAAGAAAGCGGGGGAUCCUUCGGGACCUCGCGCUGUAGGGGCGGCCGAUGGCAGAUUAGCCAGUUGGUGGGGUAAAGGCCUACCAAGGCGACGAUCUGUAGCUGGUCUGAGAGGACGACCAGCCACACUGGGACUGAGACACGGCCCAGACUCCUACGGGAGGCAGCAGUGGGGAAUUUUGGACAAUGGGGGAAACCCUGAUCCAGCAAUGCCGCGUGUGUGAAGAAGGCCUUCGGGUUGUAAAGCACUUUUGUCCGGAAAGAAAACCUUUGCACUAAUACUGUGGGGGGAUGACGGUACCGGAAGAAUAAGCACCGGCUAACUACGUGNNNNNNGCCGCG